rnacentral:rRNA from 1 species
UACGAAGGGGGCUAGCGUUGUUCGGAUUUACUGGGCGUAAAGCGCACGUAGGCGGAUCGUUAAGUCGGGGGUGAAAUCCUGGAGCUCAACUCCAGAACUGCCUCCGAUACUGGGAGCCUUCGAGUCCGGGAGAGGUGAGUGGAACUGCGAGUGUAGAGGUGAAAUUCGUAGAUAUUCGCAAGAACACCAGUGGCGAAGGCGGCUCACUGGCCCGGUACUGACGCUGAGGUGCGAAAGCGUGGGGAGCAAACAGG